UACAGAGGUCUCAAGCGUUGUUCGGAUUCAUUGGGCGUAAAGGGUGCGUAGGCGGCGCGGUAAGUCGGGUGUGAAAUCUCGGAGCUUAACUCCGAAACUGCAUUCGAUACUGCCGUGCUUGAGGACUGGAGAGGAGACUGGAAUUUACGGUGUAGCGGUGAAAUGCGUAGAUAUCGUAAGGAAGACCAGUGGCGAAGGCGGGUCUCUGGACAGUUCCUGGCGCUGAGGCACGAGGGUCAGGGGAGCAAACGGG
rnacentral:rRNA from 1 species